AGACAUUAAUCUUAAGUAUCCAGGGAGCCCUAAAACAUUGUAUCCCACUAGCAAGGACCAUGGUAAUUGCCACGUAAAUCCCCUCCAUUAUGUGGCCCUUAUUAUGACCAGCCAGCCAAGGCUUGCCUUUAAAUCAUACCAAUUGAACCGAGCCUUGUAGAAACACUAUCACCUACGCAUACCUCUGCUUCUUUUCAUUAACCUGCUAUCCUCUUUACAAAUGGGAUUCUUCACCCACUCCCUUCUUCUAGAUUAGCAAUGCCCUGUUAAGUAAACGAACACGAAAUUCAAAGGGAAACAGGAGCAAUCAUCAUUACCAGCUGCCGUGUUAAGCAUUGCGAAAACGCUCACGAUUCACAGAAAAAUCCAUGCUGUUCUUUGAAGGCAUUCAAGCCUUAAUAGCUAGCUGGAUGAAUGUUUAACUUCUAGGCCAGGCACUACUCUGUCCCAACAAUAAGCCCUGUACAUUGGGAAAGGUGCCGAGACAUGAACUUUGGUCUUCUCUGCAAUCCAUCUGGAGCAUUCACUGACAACAUCGACUUUGAAGUUGCACUGACCUGGCCAGCCCUGCCACUUACCAGGUUGGGCUGUGGCUUGCCUUUUCACUUCUUGUGUCCUGUUUAAGAAAUAUCUGCUAUCCCAAGCAUCUGGCAUCUUUCUUGACAUAUGUAGCAGUUGCUUUUUGACAGCUUGCUUCUUCAGUGAAUGAAUAAAUUAAUAAAGAGAAAUGUGAUGUUCAGUGAUCCAUUUUGCAGAUUGCAAACUCCUAGAGAAGGGCUCAACAGUGAGUGCUGAGGCUGCACAGAGGAGGAAGGCAGCACAAUGAUGGAAGGCUUCCUAAAGAGAUAACACUAACAAAGUUGACCUUAGAAUUGGAGUGCCUGGGUUAGAACCCUGCUGGUACCACCUGCUUACUGCAUGCUUCUGAUGUGAGUUCAGGAGAAGACACUGGCAAGGACAGCAAAGAACAGGAGAACACUCUAGCUUCCCUGAUAGCAUUCAAGGCUCUUGAGUUUCUGCUUUCAAGUGACCCUCAGAAAUUCCUCCAUUCACUGCAGAGGUUCUGUUUCUCCUUGCUUUGUUCUGACUUUACGGCAGAACUAAGCUAAUGAGUUAGUUACUAUGGGUUAUCACUUGGAUUUGAAGAACCAUCAUUUCUAGGCAUUGCUGCUCAGAGUGGGUCUGCCCUCAGGGGAAGCUGUCUAACCAGAGCCUAACCCACUAGGGUUUUAUCAGAACCUAACUGACCUGAGGAAAAGAAAUACUCAACUCCAGCAAGCUCCAGCCUUCCAAAUGGAGGAGGAGAAAACCCAACUCCAGCCCACUUCAGCUAUCUUGUCCCACAUAAAGGGGAAGUGGAAGAAACCUGAGAAGCAGGCAUGAAGUUCACAGUCCAGAGUGUAUUCCACACCAUUUCAUAUUCCAUCGCAUUCCAUUCUACACAAUUCCACAUCUCCCCGGCCACAUCAGCCUGAGAGUAAUAAACAGACCUUGCCAUCGUAUCCCCUUUUGGAGACACAAGCCAGGAAGGAAGCUCUUCAGUGCAGCUGUGAAUAGAGAAAUGCUGGCUGAGGUUUUGGAGACACUGGGUGAUCAUUCCCAGUGAAAUUUUUAGAUCCCUGGGGACAUGAGCUGCUUUGUCUUUUCCAAGGCUGAAAAAGUUUUGGAAGCCCUCCUAAGCAGGUGCCAGACCCUUUUUUGGCCAGAGACAGGAUCUUACGCUGUUGCCCAGGCUGGAGUGCAAUAGUGUCAUCAUGGCUCACUGUAGCCUGGAACUGCUGGGCUCAAGGGAUCCUCCCAGCUCAGCCUCCCAAGUAGCUAGGAGUAAAGUCUGGAGAACACUUUUUCUUUUGAGCUGUUUACAACCUUUAGCAAUUGAGUAGAGUGUACUCUUGUCAAUAGAAUUUGAAGCACAUUUCUCUCUCUGCCUGAUUUCUGUAGAAUUUGUAAACUAUUUGUGAAUAUUCUUAAUUUAUGGCAAUAUGGUUGCUUACAUAAGUUCAAUAAUAAUCUGUUUUCUUUUACAAUGAGACACAGUUGGAGGAACUGGUUAUUUUCCCAGGGCUUUGACUGAAAUGGCCUUGUGAAUGGUUCCAGGAAAGCCAAUUUUGGAGACCCUAUGUGGAUGAUGAUGCUUGCUGUACUUUCUGUGGGUAAUCGGGCCAAGUAUAUGGGACUGAAGCUAAUUUUGCAGGUGAGAAAAUGGAGGUCCAGAGAGAAAAGUGACUCACCCAAGCUGAAAACAGUUGCAGGAAGAAAAGCCAGGACAGAACUGGGCUGUUAGAAACCUUGGAGUACACUAAAGAUGAGGAACUGAGUCACCGCAAUGCCAAAUGUAACACGCUGUGGGUCAAAAUUUGGAUGGUUGCGUUGGAAAUUAUUCUGAAGCCACAGACAGGGCUAAAAGAGUCUAGAAUGUCCUACUAGCUGUUGGAACCUGCUGGAGUUCUAAAGGCAUGCGAUGUCCUGAAUGUGCUUGACCAAUGGACACAGCAGGUAUUUGAAGAGUUUUGAUGCUUCCUUUCUGUUUUCAGUGCUAUUUUUUUGCUUUAUUUCUUUUAAAAAACUUUCCCCACAGAGGCUAUUUAUUACACAGCAGCAGCCAGCAUGCACCAAGCAGAACUGCUUUUCAUAAUAAACCUAUUUAUCUUCUGGCAUGUCAGAAAUUUCUCAAAUUGAUACUUAUAAUAAAUAUGAUUAAUAACACAUUGUA
rnacentral:lncRNA from 1 species